rnacentral:rRNA from 1 species
AUUGAACGCUGGCGGCAGGCCUAACACAUGCAAGUCGAGCGGAGCGGCGGACGGGUGAGUAAUGCCUAGGAAUCUGCCUGGUAGUGGGGGAUAACGUCCGGAAACGGGCGCUAAUACAGCAUACUAUCAGAUUAGCCAAGGUCGGAUUAGCUAGUGGGUGGGGUAAAGGCCUACCAAGGCGACGAACCGUAACUGGGCUGAGAGGAUGACCAGCCACACUGGAACUGAGACACGGUCCAGACUCCUACGGGAGGCAGCAGUGGGGAAUAUUGCACAAUGGGCUCAAGCCUGAUGCAGCCAUGCCGCGUGUAUGAAGAAGGCCUUCGGGUUGUAAAGUACUUUCAGCGGGGAGGCGUUACCCGCAGAAGAAGCACCGGCUAACUCCGUGCCAGCAGCCGCGGUAAUAC